UUCAGCUCUUUCAGAAUCCAAUUUCAAACGAGGCCUAAAAUUGGUCCGCCGCUCGCUGAUCUUCCAUUGUUACGUAUCGACCGCCCAACGUCACGGCGCCAUGCGCGGCUAUGGUGUACAGCUAAUACCCUUAUUCGUUCAGGGCUCUGUAAUUACGUACAACGCACUCGAAUCAGGACCGCGCACGACUAAGAUAAUGAAAACGAAACUCGUCGAUCAAAUUUAACACCGUAUGGUCGCACUUCACUGACGCGCUAUCUCUGAGUUUGUUCACGUAAAUGACACUCGGUUGUAUAAGCCUCGUGAUUGUUGCCGUCAUCAGGUUUGUAUAAAUAUCUUCAUUACCGGGUAUAAUUUUUCUUGUGUAAUGUUAUUUGAACAGGUACUUGAUCGAUUAAAAAAUAAAGACAAUAAUGUUUUUAAUCUA